rnacentral:lncRNA from 1 species
GGCUCUAGGGCAGAACUUUAUGGCCAAAUUUUAUGUCCUGGAUUUCCACUUGAGCAUUGAGAAUUCUGGGUUUGGAAAUUUGAUGGAGACAGAAGAAAUCCCAUCCUUACUUCAGGCACUUACUGAACCUAGUGUGUGUGGAAGGAAGAGGGGAUGCACUUAGAAUGGGCAUAGGAUAUAAGAGAAUAAUGAUAAAGAAUAUUUAUAAUCAGAAUUUCUCACACUCAGGACGAGAAAGGAGAAUCUCUAACAGAGUCACAGCAUGAUUAUUUCAGCUUUUUCCUGUUUCCUUCCUUUGUACUUUGGGUCCUUCUUUCCUUUCUAGCAUUCCCUCUUCUUUCAUCAGAUACACACUGUGGCAGACUUAAGCCCCAAACCACAGCCUUGACAAAUUCCAAAUGGAUUUUGUCAGCAAGGCCAACACACUCCUUCGCCACUUCCUAGCCCUGCUCCUAGCACAUGCGCUGGGCUCAGACCCAGGCCUGGGGUCAGUGACAGGGUUGGAGUAUGCAACCCACAGAGUUGGUGGCUACAAUUUCAGCUUUUACUAAGCUCCAAUGGCAGCCAGAGGGAGGGAGAAAGGUUGAUGAACUGUAAGGCGGGCCUCUUGUCCCUCUUCAGCUCUAGAUGAGUUCUACUCCUGCUGGCCUUUACCAAGUGGUUGGGAAGUUGCGGGGGGCAGUGGCCAGCUAAUUGCCAGCUGGGCAGCACUCCUCCUAUCUCUGCUCCUGUUUGCUCCAUGGGCAGCCCACUCUGAUGCUGCAACAGACACUUUCUUCUUCAGACCCCAGACAGGUGAAGGACAGAAGUGCUGGGAGAUUCUCUAGUUCCAUUAAUCAAUCCUGACUAACAUACCAUGGUACCUGCUGCUUACUACAUUAGACUGUCACCAUUUCCAUCCUUCUGUUGCACUGGGGAUACAACCUUGAGAAGAUCUGAAGCACUGGGCAGGAAUAUCAACAGGUUCCACCUCCUUGUCCGAGUUCCACAAGGCAUGUGCAUGUGGUAAGGGCACUAGGGAGGUUUUAUAAAGCAUAGUUUUGGUGGACAGUGUGGUGGGAUAACCUGGUGGAGUGCUACUAGAAAUUUCUAGAGAAAGAAAUGCAAGAGUAAUCACAUGGAAAUACCAAAAGACCCACUCUAGGAGUAAUAAUACUGGAGGAAGAUCCUUUUGUAGUUCAUAAGCAUAAUGACUGGGUGUUCACACACACGUGAGAUGUCCCACCCUCAAACCUUGUUACAUUGGCCGGGCGCGGUGGCUCAAGCCUGUAAUCCCAGCACUUUGGGAGGCCGAGGCGGGUGGAUCAUGAGGUCAGGAGAUCGAGACUAUCCUGGCUAACAUGGUGAAACCCCGUCUCUACUAAAAAUACAAAAAACUAGCCGGGCGAGGGUGGCUCUGUAGUCCCAACUACUUGGGAGGCUGAGGCGGGAGAAUGGCGUGAACCCGGGAGGCGGAGCUUGCAGUGAGCCGAGAUCACGCCACUGCACUCCAGCCUGGGAGACACAGCCAGACUCCGUCUCAAAAAAAAAAAAAAAAAAAAAAAAA